CAGCGACGGGUCUAGCCAGGUUAGAUACAAUUCCAUUUUGAGGGCACAGUUAUUUGUGCAUUAUGGUAAUCCCCUCCAAAGAAUAGUUUCUUACCAGACUAAAUCAGAAACUGCUUGAAUUUUCAACUUUAAGUAGGUUCUGUGAUUGAAAUAUCAGAAUAGAAAACACAAAUACUGUUUGGCAAUUCCAUAAAAUAGUCAACAUUUUUGUACAUCCAACCCCCAUUUUUCUCAAGUUUUACUUCACUUCAUAAGUCCCUAGGGGGUCAGACGUACAUAUUUUAUGAAAUUACCCUGUUGCAAUUUAGGCUUACUGAAAUAUGUGAUAUUCAGAUAUGAAAAAAAAAACAGAAUAAAAGUUGAUCAUUCUUUUUGUUUUUGGAGAAAUUCACAAUGCAUCCUUUUUUUACAUUUUGUAUAAAUAUAAGUAGUUUUUUUUUCCAAAGAUGUGGCUAAAUGAGAUUGCUUAAAGCACACAAUCAUCCACAUUGCACAUUUAAACAGUACACAUCUAUAAAUUCAAUUAACCUUUAAGUCAUCUCACCGGGGAUUUAAUACCAUUGGUGCUUAUCGAGAUGCUGUCAAAUCCCACAAAGUGAAAAAAAUAGAGAUUUUUAUGACAAAGAAGUGUGAGGUUAUGCAUUACAUAUUCCACACCCUGCCUCACACGUUAAAGUCAUAUUCUCCCUUUCCCUGGCCGAAAAUGCCCAAAGCUGAUUAAGUAAGAAUAAAUGUCUAUAUUAUGAUGGCUUGCCAGCUGUGCUUUAAUCAAUGUAGCAUCAUAGUUAUUUCCAGUUCUCUUCACAAUUUUGGGAAUCAACUCCUCAGAGAGGACCUUAAGCCGUACAUCCUCUGGUUGAUUGCUUACACGCAUUCAUGCUUUCUUAGCAAUAAGGUAAAAAAUCAAAACCAUUUACCAUUUCCCAUAAAGAUAGUGAGCCUUCAAUACAAAUACAUCAUUUGAAAAUUUUCUUCUAUGCCAUAUUGGUGAAGAAUGAAUUAUUUCAUUGAUACCUCGGUAAAAAACAA